UGAAAGAACAAAGGAGAUGUCACAGAGGGACUAUGACUGCAUCUGCACAUCAUGAAAGAUUUGCUGAAGGAGAGAAGGGUCAGUUUUUGUUGUCCAGGAGGGACAACGGAAGUGAGCUCCAAAUAAAUAGAGGACACCGAAGGUGAAUUGUCAGGGGUCUGGUUGAAGAGAAGGAGGUCAAGGCAGAAACACCUAGCUCCCAGGGGGUUACUUGGAGGACCAGAGUUUUUAGGAAAUAUGGUGUGUCUCAAUCUGUCUGCAAGUUUCCAUACCAAAAAUUAUUUCAUACCAUAACACCCAGAACCCAUAUCAACUGCCAUCAUCAAACAGAGAAAAAGACCCUAAGAAACUCGGUGAGUGAUAAAAUAACAGAACAGAAAACAAACUUCCUGAACACAGAAAAUGAAGUCUCCAUGAAGGAAGGCAAAAGAUAAAAAAGAGAGACUAAAAUGCUGGAGUGAAGUGGCACGAUCUCAGCUCACUGCAACCUCCACUUCCCAGGUUUAAGCGAUUCUCUUGCCUCAGCCUCCCGAGUAGCUGGGACUACAGGCGCGUGCCACCAUGUCCGGAAGAUACUGAGAAUCUGAGAGGUUAAAUUACUUCAAAAUCAAACAAAAAAAAAAACAAUCGUAAAACUGGGAUUUAACCCUCAAAGCAUCAACUCCGAAGUUCAAGCUUUACCCCAGGGCCCUAAGACACAGGAAUUAGCAUCAGAAAUGUCUCAAAAACAUGAUGCUAUUUGGUUUCUACGUGCUUUAACUCAGCCCACAUCAGCAGCCUCUGUGCUGGAGCAGAAAUGGAUGGAAAAUUGCUGGGACUUUAGUGCUUCCUGCAGCCAGCCUCAGGCCCUUUUCUUCUACAGAUUCUGGGAUGUAAAAAUCCUACUUCUGCUCCAAAAGGAGAAAAUGUGACUUGCAAGGAGAAUGUACCUCUUCUUCUUCCUUGAAAGCCAUUGCCCCUUUUAUCAGUGUGACACAGCCCUUUGAAAACAGACUCCUUGUUCUUGGAGCUUGGCAGGGAGAAAAAGGCAAGAAUUCAUUUGCAGGAAAGAAAGCAUCGUUAAAAAUGCCCUAUUUAGGGAAAACUUCAGAGCCAAGACUAGGUGUAUGUUCUCAUUAUUUCACAUGUUGUCAGAGUAACCAGUACAGUGAAAAGACAGCCUUUUGAAGAAAACAAGUUUGUGGAAACUGCUUAAUUAAGAAAUGAGGUUUCACCAUGUUUACCAGUCUGGUCUCCACCUCCUGAGCUCAAGUGAUCUGCCUGCCUUGGCCUCCUAAAGUGCUGGGAUUACAGGCGUGAACCACCUCAUCCAGCU